AACACGUUUAUCACAUCACAUAGCCAGUCAUCAGGGGACGUUCCUCGUUUUUGUGGUGGUUGAUUGAGUUGGUUGAUGUGUUAUGUUCUGGGGCAUGAUGACCAAAUGUGUUUCUGUCCCAUGAUUUCUUUGCAGGCUCGCACAAUACAGUGCGAAGCAAGGUCAUCAGAGGAACAGUAAGGUUGGGGAACAGCAGCAUCAGAGUAUUCAGUUUAUGUGCAUUUUGACAGGAAAGGAUGGCAGACAUCUCGGGCUCGCUUCAGAAGCAGCAGGAGGUGCAGUCUGUGUAGGAGGUACCCAAAACCAGUUCACACACAACUCAUUUCCCCUUCAUGAGAAGUGCAGGUGUAUCUGCGCGCGUGACAGUCAUGUCUGCAUCGUGUGCUGGGGUCUCACGCUUGGCAUGUUUGGUUAUGUGCCAAGGAAAGGUUCAUAAGGUCCCACUAAGAAAAGGACAGUGGGAAGCGAGUCCCUGGCGUGCUUCGUCCGGCUGGUACGCGGCUGCUUACCCAUGGCAGAGGAGGGGUGGCUGCGGAUAAAAUGGGUUAUUCUGCCCCUGCGGUUUUGGAGGUUGGAUGCUUAUUCCUUAAAAUAGACACUUUAUAGUCUCAAAAGGAAGGCCAAUGCAUCAGUAGUUAUGGGUUAGCUUUUUACCAUCAUCCUACAGUAAUAAACUCUUAAAAGUGGUGUUUUCUGAUUAAGAUAAUGAAUCUAGAAGUGAAUUCAAAAGAGGUUAGUGAAUAUUGAUAGCUCUUCUGAUGUCACAGGAAACGUGUGUGUCAGAUGAGAGGAUGGAUGUUUGGAGUGAAAUCUUGAUUAUGAAAAUUAUCAGCCCAAAAACUUCAAAUAAAGAAUUAGUUUUAUAGUGGCUUUAUAUUUAUGUUGAUCUAAGAUUAUAAGCAAAGCAAUAUUUGUAUGUAUGGAAUGUCUCUUAUCAGCUGAUAGAAAAAAAAAUUACUUCAUUUACAAACUACUCAUGGUAGCAACUCUGUACUUCAUAGUUAGCUGUAAAUUGUAAGUUGGGGAGCCCUUUUUUUGGUUUUUUUUGUUUGUUUUUUAUUAUUUUUAAUAUUUGGCAUUUCAUGUGUUGUAUCCUGGGUAGAACAUAACUGGACAGAUGGAUUUAUUUUUUACAAAAUCUUUUCUCAGUUUUGCUUUUGUUGUUUGUUUUUGUUUUGUGGUAGUCAGAUUUCCAGAACGACUUGUGUGGUGUCUUACAGUAUUGUAAGGGAGGCUUACUGUCACCCAGUCUGGGGGGCUGCUGCUUGGAAGAAACAUGCAGAAGAUACUUGGAUGCGUCACAACCCUUCAUACUCCUCCGAGUUCUUUGGAGCUAGAGCUGGCUGGCACCCUAUGAAUCAUAGUGAAAAAGUAUGAAAUGCCACUCAAAAGGCAUUUGGCUGAAACUAAGUUUGUCUAAAGGGACUUGUUAGAGAGGACAGGGAAGGUAAAUUGGGAAAGUUGUAAGAACCACCUUCUUGUGCAGCAAUUGAAGCAGGAGCAGGUCUAGCACUUCUUUCUGCUGGAACAUUUAUGACACCACUUUAGGGUUUGGAUGCUUCCUCUCAUGUAUAACCUGUAAAGACAUCCUGAAGUUAAUAGAAGUUUUCUCACAGUCUUUGUUGCAAUAGCAUUUUUUUUUUGCUGCUAAUGGGGGUGGAAUAGGGCAGAGAAACAAAGGAUCCCAGAAGAUACUAAAUAAAAAUUGUAAACAUACCACAAGUGCCAGUACCACCACAGUGAUCGCUUAUCUCGGCAAUAUUACUGCGUCACUGGCUCACUUUCUAAAAGAUGCUGUGCUCUGGUGAUAUGGCAGCUGUGCUCCAAGCAGUGUGCGGAAUGUGAACCCAAGAUUUUGCUAUUCCCUGUGCCUUCAUUCAUCUCUGUCCCUCUCUCUGCCUCCGUCUUUGCCUUUUUGGCUUUCCUUUUUCCCCUCUCUAAUUAGAGACUUGAACAACCACUCAAGCCAAAUUUCCUACAUUUUGUUGCAGCUAUCCGGUAGCUACAGUGAAUGUUUGGAUUAAAACUGGGAUGUGUAUUUUGUUUCUUUCACGAGCCUUUUACUUCCCUCUCUGUUUUGGGGCCAGAAAUCAAAUUUAAACAUGACCUGAGGAAGGAAAAUACUGUCUUCCGACAGAUACCUGACACAGUUAUGAAGAGAUUGUCAUGAGGUGUCUUUUCUGCCUGCAAGAACCACUUUUUGGUAGCCAAAGUCUUCAGAUUAAAAUUGCUGUCCUAGAGAGGAUGUAGGAUGCUGUCAUCAGACAUCUGGCUUGAAGUCAGUGUGGUUUGAUCCUGUGUCAUAGACGUGUGUGGAGAAAGUUGCCCAGGUCCUUGUCUAUCUGUUCCAUAGCAGCGGUAUUACCUUUCUCAUUUUUGCAGUUUCUUGUGCAAUUCCCCUGUGAUUGUGAAAGCAUUUGGAGGUAUGUACCUCUUUUUGUGUGUUCUAUACAUGUUCCUGAAUGUUAAGGUUUCCAAGAAAUGGGGCUGUGUACUAGAGGUUCAUACUAUGCCAGUGCAACUAAGCUGCUGCUGUCCUUAAGUAAAGAAAAAGAAAGAAAAAAAAAAACAGCAGUGUAACUCUUGGCUUUAGAAACCCUUCCUAAUCCUUGGUACAGCUGCCCUGUACAUGAGAGAGAAAAUGUCAUGUUAGUGUUUUUCGAGCUGAAGGACAUGACACAAAAGCUUUCCCUCUUUAAUAAUGAUUAGUUAUAUGAGGGGGGGGGUGUUGUUCUGCUGAGCUUGAUACUUUUAAAUUGCUUAGGCUUUUUGAAUCCCUAAGGAAACCAAAUGCUGUGCUGCCUGGCCAGUGUUCUGCCCCUGUGAGCUUCACUUCUGGCCCUGGGACUCUGGACUACAGGUAACAGAACAGCAAGGGCUGAGCUAAAUUCCCUUUUGGUAGUGGACCCUCAGGCUCCCCAGUGGAUCUCAGCAGGGAGUGCAUUUCUGCCAGCCCCACAACCCUAGCCAUCAAGCUCUACCCUCCAAACUUAUCAGUAGUUUUGCUCUGCAAAACAGACUUUACCGUUUUUCAAGGCAACUGCCAUGCGUUCCAGUUCUCGAUGCUUCCUGAAGAAACAGUAGAGUUGGGUGACGGAGUGAAAUACUUUACUAUUCAUGUGAUUUACAAUUGCACCCAAAACAACUAUCAGGCAUAGCUGCGCUUGGAAACUUCCUUCCCACUUCGAGACCCCACCCAUGUUCAAGGUGGAUAUAAGUAACAUGCAAAGGUAUGUCACGCAGUUUUGUUGGAGGGUGUAUCAUCCAUCUCCUGAUCUAUUGCUUCGUGUUGGUUUUAAUUUUCUUUCACUUACUUGAUACUCUCCUAUGUUUUCAUCCUAUUCUUUUCCUGGACUAAUACCUGUAUCCUGACAGCAGGAUUGAACUUGCUAUUGAUUUUUGAUUGCAUACAGUGGUUUAAUUCAAGGCUUGAGUCAGCAUCUAGAUCUCACUUGAACAUCAGUGUGUCCACCCCAUGGUAACCGUGCUUUUGUCUUGGUUUUUAAAACACUUUUAUUUGUUCUAGUACUGUCCCUGGAGGUGGUAGGCUGCUGUGUGCUGAUUUCAACUCGGUGUCUUUUAAUUCCACUUGUGAAAUUCAUCUCAUGAGACUUUAAGACAAAAUGCAUUAGUAAUGCUUCGGAGCAGGGAUUGCAUCGCUCCCCGCCCCGCAGCUGGAAGUGUCCUCAUUACUAGUUUACAGGGUUGUACUCCGUGAUGGUUCUGUUCUCUGUGGAGCUAUUAAUGAGCCAUGAAUUCUGUGUUCUGGCAUCGGAAUGGCACACCCUCCCCAGGGGUGACAGGGAAUGGCUAAUCUCAGCAUUGCCCAUUGUUUGGUCACAGCUGCCAUUUUCUGACUAGUGUGGAAGGGCUUGUACUUCUGAGGCCGAAAGGAAGAUAUUAUCAAGUGUUGAUUAAUUAUUUUUUUUCUGAAUUUUAUUUGUAUGACUCCAGCCAGGUCUCAAAGGUGACGCAGCUCAUCUCACAGCACAAUUGAUUCUGCUGUUACUGCCAUAACCUAAUUGUUUUUCUUUUCAUUUUUUUGAGAGUAAAGGCAUUUAACUCUGAACUUAGAAGAGACCAACGAGUAAAGCACACCGGUGAAGAAGUUGUGGAUAAGGGCCUGAGCUUUUGCCAGGAAGACCGCUUUAGGGCGCAAUGGGAAAACAUCCUGAGCAUAUUGGAUCUUGGCCAGGCUAAAGGAAAGCAGCCCAUCGCCUGGAGGAUUGCUCCCACUGCUUCCAGCUUCUUCUAAGAGUCUUGACAACCAAAAAGCAAAGAACACCAAGGGCUUUCCAAGCCUGUUGGGAUUUAUGGAUUCAUUUUCAACUUGGCAACGAGAGCUGGACUCGAAUGCAUCUCAGCAGAGAUACCAAAUAGCAACAGCCUUCUACCCUGCCUGUGCGAAAGCUGCCUCCUCCUUUCUGUUAGCAGCCCCUUCCCUUACCUCAGGAGCUGACAAAGCCAAAAAGAAAUCCUCCUGUCUUGGAAAGUGUAAGAGGGUCUGCAGCAGAAACUCCUGAGUCCCAGAUGCUUGUGCUGUGGUGAAAUAACGGAACAGUCUGUGCUUUCCGUGGGCUCCGGGCCAGCAGCAGAGUUCCUCUCAAGCAGGCAGUGACACAGCACUGCUGCUGAGCUGCCCUUCCAACAAAAGCUCCAUGAGAAAAAACCCUCUGGUCAGGA